GAAGAAGAGACUUUCCCCGCAUCGGAUCAAUGUUUCCAUCACACGGAGAGAGUUACAGAGCCCCCUUGUAUCCACCCCAGGCUUCUGUCCCUGGUGGGGUGAAGACCAGAAGAGGGUGAUGUCCUUCCUGCCUCCAAGACCAGAAGAGGGUGAUGUCCUUCCUGCCUCCAAGGCCUGCCUCAAAGUGCUGAGCUGGUGAGUCCAGAGAGCUGGCGGUCAACUCUCAACAAGAAGCAGCAGCAGUGGAUUGACCGGACGCUGUUUACCAGGAGCCGCCUACAGAGCUCACAGUUCAUCACUGUCCUUGCCCUGGUGGGGUGAAGACCAGAAGAGGGUGAUGUCCUUCCUGCCUCCAAGACCAGAAGAGGGUGAUGUCCUUCCUGCCUCCAAGA